rnacentral:rRNA from 1 species
UACGUAGGGUGCGAGCGUUAAUCGGGAUUACUGGGCGUAAAGCGUGCGCAGGCGGUUUUGUAAGCCAGAUGUGAAAGCCCCGGGCUUAACCUGGGAAUGGCAUUUGGGACUGCAAGGCUUGAGUGCGGCAGAGGAGACUGGAAUUCCUGGUGUAGCAGUGAAAUGCGUAGAUAUCAGGAGGAAUACCGAUGGCGAAGACAGGUCUCUGGGCUGACACUGACGCUCAUGCACGAAAGCGUGGGGAGCAAACAGG